AGUUCUGACACGGGGUGCUUCGCGUAGCGAGGCUGAGAUGACACCCGAGAACCUGAUGCAGGUAAUUCUGACGAAGGGAUGUCACGGCCAUGACGC
rnacentral:ncRNA from 2 species